rnacentral:lncRNA from 1 species
AGGUCCAUGGCCAUACGAUUGCAAUUCCUGGACCUGCUGAUGCAUUUUUAAUUCAAUGCAAGGAUCUAGUAUUUAUUGAUUUAAUAAGGUUAGAGGUAUUACAUUGUUGCUGCUACUGAUGAACUGUCAGCAAUUUAAUCUAGUGAAAUCUAACAGAGGAAUAUAUAUUUUAGGGAAGGGAGUGGGUGGGGGAAGGGAGAGAGGGAGGAGGGAGGCAAUAGCUAUGUAAAUGUCAUCCCUUCAAUACCCAUGAUGGUGAUAAGACCAAAGCCCCUUCUCUCUCACACUGAUUUGGGCUCCAGAUAUUUACUAACAAUGUUGGCCAACCAGCUAGCUGAGGUCAAAAUGAAGAGACUGCAACAAAGUCUUGCAGGUAAACCUUCAAUAUUAGGGAAAGCAAGGACUUAUCUCCCAUAGCCACCCUCUGGCCUCUUCUCGAAGGUUUUGAGGUGCCUGCAGGCACACACAUGCACUCACCCUCAACGACCUGAGCCUUUACCUCCUCACCUCAGGGUUUAAAGGAGCCCUUCAGCAGUUUCCUUUUUGGCCCCUAACAUUGUCCAGGACAUCAUUAGCAUGCAGGCAGACAGAAAAGAAAGGAGACAAUUCACUUUCUCAAAAGCAAUUCUGCCAAAAAUACAACCAAAAGAGAGAGGCUUUACAGGUUAUGUCAAAAGAUGGAGAUACUAUAGGCUCCAGAAUCAGAGAAGAGGAAAGAAAUCCACCAAAGUUGCUGAAACAGACACUUGGGGAAUAUUAAAAAGCUUUUUGCACUGCUCCGCUACCCUGCUUGUGGGCUUCUUUCCCCAACCUGGACACCUGGGAAGCGUGUUGUGCUCCAGC